rnacentral:rRNA from 1 species
UACGUAGGGUGCAAGCGUUGUCCGGAAUUAUUGGGCGUAAAGAGCUCGUAGGCGGUCUGUCGCGUCGGCUGUGAAAUCCCGAGGCUCAACCUCGGGUCUGCAGUCGAUACGGGCAAGCUGGAGUGUUGCAGGGGAGACUGGAAUUCCUGGUGUAGCGGUGAAAUGCGCAGAUAUCAGGAGGAACACCGGUGGCGAAGGCGGGUCUCUGGGCAACAACUGACGCUGAGGAGCGAAAGCGUGGGGAGCGAACAGG